AGUUCGGGUCACAUUUCGAUCUUUCGUCUUCCUCUCCUCUUGGAGUCGUCGUUGGAUCUUGCGGUGUUUCUCGAUCUUGUGAUGGGACGAUGCAUGAGUGGUUAUUGAGAUAUGUUUCCAUGCAGGCUCCAUGCUCCUGGCAUUGAACUGCUUUGGUGUAUCUUCUUCAUAUGUGGGCUUGCAUCGGUGUUUGAAGCAUCGUUUGUGGUCACUCUUUGGGUUCCUGUGCUUGAUAUCGAUUUCGACAGUUGGAUGGGUUCCUCGUCCCUUGUCAUGUUAUGUCGAUCCUCCAUCGCCUUGCCCGGCGUUGUUGGUUAUUUUGCGGCAUUGAUGUUUGCCCAACGAGCCGUAGUCUCUUAUUUGGUGCUUCUGAUCGUGAAGGCAUGUCGAUGCCGCUUGCUCUUUUGGGUGUGGAGAAUUUUUGGUUAUCGCAUCGGUCUCGACCUUUGUGAGCGCAACGUUUUGAAGUAUUCUCGCUUCUGCUUGUAUGACCCUCGUUCUCUUCUGGAGCUCACCGAGCCUCUUUGUUCUGUGUUCUUCUUGGGAGCCAUCGAGGUCAAGAACGGAAUGCUACCUGGUUGAU
rnacentral:misc_RNA from 1 species